rnacentral:tRNA from 5 species
GCCGAAGUGGCGGAACUGGCAGACGCAGCAGACUCAAAAUCUGCCGGGGUAACACCCGUGUGGGUUCAAUUCCCUCCUUCGGCACCA